AGCGGGGUGCUACACAUGCAGUCGAGCGAGAACUUCGGUUCUAGCGGCGGACGGGUUAGUAACGCGUGGGAACGUGCCCUUCACUACGGAAUAGUCCCGGGAAACUGGGUUUAAUACCGUAUACGCCCUUCGGGGGAAAGAAUUUCGGUGAAGGAUCGGCCCGCGUUAGAUUAGAUAGUUGGUGGGGUAACGGCCUACCAAGUCUACGAUCUAUAGCUGGUUUUAGAGGAUGAUCAGCAACACUGGGACUGAGACACGGCCCAGACUCCUACGGGAGGCAGCAGUGGGGAAUCUUAGACAAUGGGCGCAAGCCUGAUCUAGCCAUGCCGCGUGAGUGAUGAAGGCCUUAGGGUCGUAAAGCUCUUUCGCCAGGGAUGAUAAUGACAGUACCUGGUAAAGAAACCCCGGCUAACUCCGUGCCAGCAGCCGCGGUAAUACGGAGGGGGUUAGCGUUGUUCGGAAUUACUGGGCGUAAAGCGCGCGUAGGCGGAUUGGAAAGUUGGGGGUGAAAUCCCAGGGCUCAACCCUGGAACUGCCUCCAAAACUAUCAGUCUAGAGUUCGAGAGAGGUGAGUGGAACUCCGAGUGUAGAGGUGAAAUUCGUAGAUAUUCGGAAGAACACCAGUGGCGAAGGCGGCUCACUGGCUCGAUACUGACGCUGAGGUGCGAAAGUGUGGGGAGCAAACAGGAUUAGAUACCCUGGUAGUCCAC
rnacentral:rRNA from 1 species